rnacentral:rRNA from 1 species
ACACGUGGGUAACCUGCCUGUAAGACUGGGAUAACUCCGGGAAACCGGGGCUAAUACCGGAUAACACCUACCCCCGCAUGGGGGAAGGUUGAAAGGUGGCUUCGGCUAUCACUUACAGAUGGACCCGCGGCGCAUUAGCUAGUUGGUGAGGUAACGGCUCACCAAGGCGACGAUGCGUAGCCGACCUGAGAGGGUGAUCGGCCACACUGGGACUGAGACACGGCCCAGACUCCUACGGGAGGCAGCAGUAGGGAAUCUUCCGCAAUGGACGAAAGUCUGACGGAGCAACGCCGCGUGAGUGAAGAAGGUUUUCGGAUCGUAAAACUCUGUUGUUAGGGAAGAACAAGUGCCGUUCGAAUAGGGCGGCACCUUGACGGUACCUAACCAGAAAGCCACGGCUAACUACGUGCCAGCAGCCGCGGUAAUACGUAGGUGGCAAGCGUUGUCCGGAAUUAUUGGGCGUAAAGCGCGCGCAGGUGGUUUCUUAAGUCUGAUGUGAAAGCCCACGGCUCAACCGUGGAGGGUCAUUGGAAACUGGGGAACUUGAGUGCAGAAGAGGAAAGUGGAAUUCCAAGUGUAGCGGUGAAAUGCGUAGAUAUUUGGAGGAACACCAGUGGCGAAGGCGACUUUCUGGUCUGUAACUGACACUGAGGCGCGAAAGCGUGGGGAGCAAAACAGGAUUAGAUACCCUGGUAGUCCACGCCGUAAACGAUGAGUGCUAAGUGUUAGAGGGUUUCCGCCCUUUAGUGCUGCAGCUAACGCAUUAAGCACUCCGCCUGGGGAGUA